rnacentral:rRNA from 1 species
GACAGAGGGUGCAAACGUUGCUCGGAAUUACUGGGCGUAAAGCGCGUGUAGGUGGACUGGUGUGUCAGAUGUGAAAGCCCUGGGCUCAACCCAGGAACAGCACCUGAAACUACCAGCUUGAGUGGUGGAGAGGGAAGUGGAAUUCCUGGUGUAGAGGUGAAAUUCGUAGAUAUCAGGAGGAACACCAGUGGCGAAGGCGGCUUCCUGGACACCAACUGACGCUGAGACGCGAAAGCGUGGGGAGCAAACAGG